AGAUUAACUUUGACAAUACCAGUGCAUUGUUUCCUUCGUUAAUACUUACAAUGUCCAUUGGAAGUUUCUGUUCAUAAAUGCUUUGACCCAUACCGUGUAUGUGGUGGACCCAUCAAAGAGCCUCAAAGAGAAAGCUGAAUCCUGCUGUGCUGCAAAAAACUUCAGCAAGUACCUAAAACUAAGAAGACAGUGCCAUGGGAAAACAGAGUGGCAGAACAUUAAAUGGAAAGGAGGAGUGCUGACCCAUCCAACCCAGC